CGCACACAGACGCCUACGUUCCGAGUUUCAGAGUUCAGACUACGAGUUAUUGACUCGUUUUCCAUAGUACUGUCGGCCAAUUGUGACUUCCGUUUUUGUUUGUGAAUUUCAGUCUUUAUAACAUAAAUUUUUAAUCUUGUAAAUUAUUAAACACUUGAUUAAGAUUUGUUGAUUUCAAUUGACUAUUAUAUUACCGUUUUAUUUGCAUCACAUUUUCUAAUUUUGUUCGUAUUACGAGCUUCCUCAUCAAACAUGGGAUCUGACGAACCAGAACAAUACAGGAAAUUAUUCAUUGGUGGUUUAAACUAUACCACAACUAAUGAUUCACUUAAAGAAUUUUUUGAGCAAUGGGGUGAAAUUGUGGAUGUAGUUGUCAUGAAAGACCCUCAAACCAAGAGAUCUCGAGGAUUUGGAUUCAUUACUUAUUCUCAAUCGUCUAUGGUUGAUCAAGCCAUGUCAAAUAGACCCCAUAAAAUAGAUGGCCGUGAAGUGGAAACAAAGCGAGCUGUUCCACGUGACGAUAUUGAUAAACCAGACAUCGCAGCUACUGUAAAAAAAAUGUUUGUUUCUGGUAUUAAAGAACAAUCAGAAAACGAUCUUCUUGAAUAUUUUAGAAAAUUUGGUAAUAUCACUAAUGUAACAAUAGUAACUGAUAAAGAUUCUGGUCAAAGAAAAGGAUUUGGAUUUAUUGAGUAUGAUGAUACUGAUUCAGUUGACAAAGCUGUUUUGAUUAAAAGUCACCAAGUCGCUGGUGGAAAAUUGGAUGUGAAAAAAGCUAUUAGUCGUAGUGAUGGCGCUGGUGGUGGCCGUGGUGGACGAGGCGGUCGUGGUGGUGGCGGAGGAGGUGGUGGCAAUAGAAGUAGUUGGGGUGGAAAUCCACGAAAUGAACAAUGGGGAGGCCAUCAUAACAGAUCAAAUGGUGGCGGUGGAGGAUAUGGAAAUUCUGGAAUGGGAGGAGGAUAUGGCUCUGGCGGCGGUGGUGGUGGUGGUUAUGGAGGUAGUGCAGGUGGUUACAACUCAAAUUCUGGUGGAGCCUGGCAAGGUGGCGGCGGUGCUCCUCAAAGUUGGGGUAACAAUAAUCCAGCAUGGGGUAACCAAGGAGGUGGCGGUGAUAGUUGGGGAGGUUCACAACAACCUAGUAACAACUGGGGUCCAAAUCAAAGUUAUGGUGGUGGCGGUGGCCCGAUGAGAUCUAAUUAUACCUCUAAUAAUCGCGCUACACCUUAUGGAAACCCAGGUAGAGCCGGCAAUGUAAAUGCUGGUAAUGCUGGUUAUGGUCAAAAUCCUGGUCGGCGGUACUAAUGCAUCACUUUCAACUAAAGAAUGGAAAAGUGACUGUCAACUGAUGUGCAUUCACCAUGAAUGUUCUUUAAGAUUUUUGUCAUUGGUCCUCCUGUCACUAAAAGAAAAUCUACUGCAAGUAUAUUUCAUAUGUGAACCAUGAAAAUCAAUUUAUUCACAAGAAUAAACUUUGAUAAUAUGAAAAAUAGUAUAAGUGUUUACAGGAAUUUGAGAAGAUUUUGUCAGAGCUGUAUUGGCAAUCACACAUUGAUCGAGGUUUACAGUUCAGAUAUUCUGAAAUAUUUUCCAGACUGCCGGUGUUUCGAAAGUUGAAAUAUAAAAUUAAGUUAUCAUUUUUAUAAUGGGUACAAUUUAAUUUGUGUUUUGAGAAAAAUAUAUUCUUUUUUAAUAAACUUA